rnacentral:rRNA from 1 species
UACGAAGGGGGCUAGCGUUGUUCGGAAUUACUGGGCGUAAAGCGCACGUAGGCGGACAUUUAAGUCAGGGGUGAAAUCCCGGGGCUCAACCCCGGAACUGCCUUUGAUACUGGGUGUCUUGAGUCCGGAAGAGGUGAGUGGAAUUCCGAGUGUAGAGGUGAAAUUCGUAGAUAUUCGCAGGAACACCAGUGGCGAAGGCGGCUCACUGGUCCACAACUGACGCUGAGGUGCGAAAGCGUGGGGAGCAAACAGG